UGAUCUUCAAAUUGCAGAAUCGGAGGGGAGUCUCAGGCAUUCCAAAGUGAGGAAGUGGAUUCAGAUGUAGUAUCUGUGAGAAAGUACUGAAAUGUAAAGGUGGAUAUACUGUUCAUCAGCAGAUGACUUGAAGUCAAAAGAAAUCGAGACCAUUCAGUCAUUUCUACAGAUUUC